ACGUAUCAACAGACUUUAGAAAUGGAAAAAGAUUGUAUUUCGAAAAUAACCAACGUAUCAACAGACUUUUCCUCUAUAGGAACUCAAUAAAAGAAAAAUAAAGCUGUCCAGAAUAGCACAGCCCCAGGACUCAAUCCCGAGCAGAGAAUUCUGCCCCUUACAAAGAAUAUUUCCCAAAACAUGCCUCCCUUAUUAUUAGCUAAUCAUUAUAUAGUACUCUAGCUCUCCAGCUACCACAACUAAUUCUUUGCCACCUAAUAUUCCCUGUGUAUUGUCUCUAUCAGCUGCAGUCCUACUGUCCCACUAUCCAUGGUUCUAUUGCCAUCCAUUGUGACCUUAAUCCUUCUAGAGUAGACCCUCAAUGGCCUAGGCCAGCCCAUUCUCUAUCAUUGGGCUUCACCAAAUCAGGCCAGCACCUGGCAUGGGAGGAGUUUCCAACUUUUUAAGGAAGGGUUUUUCUUAUAAUAUGCGAAUACUAUACUACUAUAUAUUACACUUGAAUUUGUUAAUCCCUCCACCUGUGCAUGAUAUUUAAUCACUCCAUUUGGUUAAUCCCUCCACCAAUGCUAGAAAUCACUGGAUGAUGCAACUUAUAAAAGCAUACAC
rnacentral:lncRNA from 1 species